CAACUAUAGGUCACUGUACGGCCUUCAACAAUGAACAAAGCCCAUACCGCAUAGUCAGAUAUAAAAGGCCCCGAUAUGACCAUGUAAAACAAUUUAAACGAGGAAACUAAAGGCCUUAUUUAUAUAUAAAAAAAAAUUAACAAAAAAAAAAACAAAUAUGAUUCAAUAUGUAACACAUAAGCAAACGACAACCACCUGAAUUACAGGUUCCUGAAUUGGGACAGGCACAUACAUAAACAAUGUGGAAGGGUUAAACAUGUUAGUGGGAUCCCAACCCUCUCCCUUACCUGGGACAGUGGUACAUAUAACAGUACAACAUAAGAACGAACUAUAAAAAUCAGUUGAAAAAGGUUUAACUUAUCAGAUGGACAAAAAUACAAUUGGACGUGGCCGGGUUCUUGAACAUCCCGACAACAAAAAGACACUAGGAACAG
rnacentral:lncRNA from 1 species